CAGAGCCUGAACCGGAGGUGGCACUACGGGCUGCAGGUUAAUUUCUCCCGUGUUAUCGUCCACGUAAACUCCCCGUGCCCAGUUCGCGUGGCGCAGAGCCCUAGGCCUUGAAUGCGCGCCGCGUGAGGAGGCCCCCGCGUUGGUUUGCUUUCAGCUUGCAAACUGCCAGUGCGUUUCGUGCCCCCGGGCGCCUGGAGGCGGGGAUGAACCAGCACGGAUGAACCACCCGUUCCUCUGCUUUUGCUCCGGCCGCCCCAGGUGCAGCGAACCACCGGUGACAAAUUUCUGGCUACGAGUUGGAGAAGCCCUGAGGGGGCCUACAGCCCGGAGCAGGGCCAGGGGCCCGCUGCCGGCCGUGCCCACCUCUGUCUGCUCUCCACCACUUACUUUCCGACACCGUGGCUUCUGCAGACCACCAGUCACGGAGAUGAAGGGUUUCUCAGUAAAGAAGGCUCCCGAUGUCAAUACUGUGUAGUUGUUAAGAAAUACAUGUAUCUCCGCUGAAGAUGUUAGAAAAAUGGCGAUGGAUCUUUAACUUCGUGUAUGCUAACGGAAAUGGUUUUCAGAAAAUAUCACUAGAAACUUACCUGCCUGACGUUCAACUCUGACAAGUCCUCUUCCGGGAAACACCUCAGGCUCCAUACUCAAAAUUAAUCCCCUAGAUCCAUCAACAAAUGAUUUAGACAGCUCCCUGGUUAUGCUGGAUUGCUUCCUAAGACAUGCAGCCCUCCACCUGCACUGUAAGAGGAGACUGGAUCCUGAAGUUACGCACUGUUGAGUGUUGCCUGCUGCCUUUUUUGGAUGCAGUCUUGAACGACUUGCCUAAAACCACAUACGCCGUGUUCUGCCGAGCUCAAAACUGACCCUUCUACUUCUUUCCUGUGCUCUUACUGUGGAGGAGGAAGCCAUCCACACACACCAAGAGACAGGAAUUAUUGUUACAAUAUCCCAUUAUGCCAGAUACUGUUAUAGUUGGAAACAGAAAUGUUUUUGUUAUUAAGCUUUUUCUUCUUGGAAACAAAACAGUGGUUUUGAAAGCUGUUUUCUAAUGCCAAGGAGCUCCAUCACUUAAUUCAAAUGUUAAAGUGUUUUGCUAAUAAAGCUUAAAAUGCUCUAAAAAGGGAA